GAGCCAUCCUUGGGAUACCACCCUUGUAGUACUGGGACUCUAACCAUAGUCCAUGUUUCUGUUCUU
rnacentral:rRNA from 1 species